ACUAAAGUAGUUUAUAAAAACACCAGCCUGUGGAACUGGAGUAACUGGUUAAAACCCGGUCUUAAGUC
rnacentral:tRNA from 2 species